rnacentral:sRNA from 1 species
UGCCGCCCGCAACGACCCGAAGCGCGAAGCGCGCAGCCCGGAGUAAUCCUUCCCCCACCACCA